rnacentral:tRNA from 1 species
GACCGUGUGAGCGUUAACCCAAGUGAUGGAAUUGGGCCCACACAAACCCGAAGGUCGUGGGUUCAAUUCCCACCUUGGUCA